UACGGGGGGGGGUAAGCGUUGUUCGGAAUUACUGGGCGUAAAGGGCGCGUAGGCGGCCUUCUAAGUCGAACGUGAAAUCCCCGGGCUCAACCCGGGAACUGCGUCCGAUACUGGAAGGCUUGAAUCCGGGAGAGGGAUGCGGAAUUCCAGGUGUAGCGGUGAAAUGCGUAGAUAUCUGGAGGAACACCGGUGGCGAAGGCGGCAUCCUGGACCGGCAUUGACGCUGAGGCGCGACAGCGUGGGGAGCAAACAGG
rnacentral:rRNA from 1 species